ensembl:lncRNA
GAAGCGGUACGUGGAAUAUCAGGUCAAUUUUUGGCCCCCUCAGUUCAAGAGGGACAUGGAGGGAGAGGUUCAGGAAGGCGGUGAAGGGGCUGGGACAUCUGCUCCAUCUGGAUAUGCUGGGCAACAUGGGGUCUGAUGCCUGUCCAAUCUGUUUGACCGCCUCCACUUUCAAUUCCAUAAAAUCUACAAGGAGACUCUUAUUCCCUAAGCUUCAUCUGAAGUCAUAACACAAGCACAAAACAAUACAUUUUCCACAAUUUAACAGGCUUUUGAUCAGACUUCAGGCUAAAUUCUUGUAACAAACCACCUCAGAAGAUGAGACACUGAUGCUGCUAAUACAUCAAGUCACAAGAAUUUAAUACAUUCUGUAUACUCAUGGUGUCCUUAUCACUAUGACAUCAACUUAUCCCCACCUUGAAUCCAACAGCUCUGGAAAUAAACUGUUUUCCUGAAACAUUUCACACCUUCAAUGGAUUCCUCUCCAAAUGCUGUUUAAACUUUCCAGUGUUGUAAAAAUGUUGGUUAUGACAAGCAAAACAGAAUCAGCUAAAGAAUAUAAAAUCAUAGAAUUAUUCAGGCUGGAAAAGACCUGAAAAUCUGAAAACCUCUGUAGCUUGGAUAACACCUGUAUCUACAUCUGUCUCUUUAUCUGACUCUAUCUGUAUCUGCGUCUUUACCCGUCUCUGUAUCUGUAUCAUGUACUGCAUUUACUGCAUUUUACAGUAUCCAGUAUCAGUUCUAUUAACAUAGGGUCUAAAAUGUUGAAAUAUUAUUUUUACUUUUCAAAACCUGAAAACCUUUUUUUUUAAUGAAACCUCACACAUUUUUUCUGCUUUAAAUUAGUCCAGAUGGAGAGCUGUCCCUUCACAACACCUUCUGGCAACUUGACCUGAUUGAAGCAGACAGCAACCUCCCAGCUCCCUUCUGAGUGACCUGGAAGUGGUCCAGGCUGCAUACUUGAAGGCUAGUAUUGCCAUCCACUAUACCCCCCAAAAUGGGACUGUUUCCCAAUUUAGAGCAAAUAUGGGAGAAAAUACUGAAGACCAGAAUGGUGUCAAUGGUACCCAUGUGCUUGGCACACACCAGUGCUUGCUGCAGUAGUCAGUCAGCUACGUUCAUUUUACUGUAAAAUGUAUUAGCAAAGAGGGUUUAUAGUGCAGAGAUCAGUCAAGCUAGAAAACCUGAAAUCUUACAAACAUACAAUUAACAUUCUUCUUACUUAUGGAGUAACUUUAAUGCUCAGUCUCUAUUUGUCUUUGCUACCAAACUAAACAAGCUAGUGGUUUUUCCAUGGUUCUGGGGACAAGUGACAUUGCAGAAAUAACAUCCAACAUCUAAGAAGUCUUUCUUCUAAAUGGGAGUCCAGAUCAGCUAUUAGAAACUGUGUCUGAAGUAUACCUUCCUCUAAGCUGGGCUAAAGUCUAGCUAAUGUGGGGCUAGAAUGAAGGUUGCCAUGAGUCAAAACUAUGCUACAGGUGUUCUAACAAUCUAACAACCUGGAUAGGAUUAAGUCAAUGCCCAAACCUCUUCCUCAAUCUGUUAUAUUUAUCAGCAUGAAUGUACCUCCAGAUCAUGCAUUCAAGUCAAUUUAGCACAAUUAAAAACUGAUUGCAAACCUGAUACUUCUGUGUUGUUCUA